rnacentral:rRNA from 1 species
UACGGGGGGGGCAAGCGUUGUUCGGAAUUACUGGGCGUAAAGGGCUCGUAGGCGGCCAACUAAGUCGGAUGUGAAAUCCCCAGGCUCAACUUGGGAACUGCAUCCGAUACUGAUUGGCUUGAAUCCGGGAGAGGGAUGCAGAAUUCCAGGUGUAGAGGUGAAAUUCGUAGAUAUUCGCAAGAACACCAGUGGCGAAGGCGGCUUACUGGUCCGGUUCUGACGCUGAGGCGCGAAAGCGUGGGGAGCAAACAGG